rnacentral:ncRNA from 2 species
GGACGGCAUCAAGAGCAGGGCUGACGCCCUCGCCAACCUGCCUUCCCGGGCAAGGUGGUUCCCGCAAGGGGAUGCGGCCAUUCGGCAACGAAACGGGUCGCG